GGCACGCAGCCCUAAGUCUCAUUCCCUUUUCCAAUUUCCACACGCCCCUCUCCCCAUUUCUUUCUUCCAUCUCCCUAAGAACGACGAUCACCACUGUUUCUUUCCCAUAAUCACUUCCAUUUUCAGGCUCAACCCCCAAUCCUUAUCCCAUAACUUUCUUCUUAUCCUCAUCCUGAUCGUCAUUCGUAUAUAAUGGCUUCGGCCUCAGCGUCUGCGCUGCUCAGAGCCUCAAGAGCGAGGUUAUUUUCCCCUUCUUUUUGCUCCAGAUCUUUUCCCUCUGGUUCUUCUCCCAAACCUGCCUCGCUUUCUUUCGCUUCUACUUAUAGAUCUCUCUCUGCUUCCUCUGCCUUUCGAUCGGUUCCUCGCUGGAGCCACGGUGUCGAUUGGCGUUCUCCUCUCAGUCUUCGUGCUCAGAUCAGAGCUGCUGCUCCUGCGAUUGAACGUCUUCACCGCAAAUUCUCUUCCAUGGCUGCUGAAAAUCCUUUCCAGGAAAUUUUAACCAGUCUUCCUAAACCCGGAGGUGGAGAAUUUGGGAAGUAUUACAGCCUACCGUCUCUGAAUGAUCCAAGAAUCGAUAAGUUGCCUUACUCCAUCAGAAUAUUACUUGAAUCUGCAAUUCGGAACUGUGACAAUUUCCAAGUGAAAAAGGAAGAUGUCGAGAAAAUUAUUGAUUGGGAAAAUAGCUCCCCAAAGCAAGUUGAAAUUCCUUUCAAACCUGCUCGUGUCCUACUGCAGGAUUUUACCGGGGUACCAGCGGUUGUUGAUCUUGCAUGUAUGCGUGAUGCCAUGAACAAACUAGGCAGUGAUUCCAAUAAGAUAAAUCCCCUGGUUCCUGUAGACCUUGUGAUUGAUCAUUCAGUUCAAGUUGAUGUAGCUAGAUCAGAAAAUGCAGUUCAGGCCAAUAUGGAGCUUGAAUUCCAAAGG
rnacentral:misc_RNA from 1 species